UACGUAGGGGGCAAGCGUUGUCCGGAUUUAUUGGGCGUAAAGAGCGUGUAGGCGGUUCGGUAGGUCCGUUGUGAAAACUCGAGGCUCAACCUCGAGACGCCGAUGGAAACCCUCGAACUAGAGUCCGGAAGAGGAGAAUGGAAUUCCUGGUGUAGCGGUGAAAUGCGCAGAUAUCAGGAAGAACACCCGUGGCUAAGGCGGCUCUCUAGUACGGUACUGACGCUGAGACGCGAAAGCGUGGGGAGCGAACAGG
rnacentral:rRNA from 1 species